UUAUCAUAGUGUACAUUUACUACACAUGUCGUAAGGCAUGUGUUGUUAAUUUCUACUUUAUUUGAGGAGGUAAACAAAUGUUAAUCUUAAGUUGACGUCGUACACGAACCUUUUCACGAGUGAAGAAGUCGAGGGAAGAGGCUUCGAUAGGAAAAUAAAGAUUUUAUUUGUUUGACCCCAUUCUCUUGAAAAUGUCAUGUUUCGGCGGAGAUAAUAAAGUGAUUAUUUGUCAUGUCGUGCUGCUGGACGAGACCGAAAUUGCUGUCGAAAUAAAGGCUCACACCAAGGGUCGGGAACUGCUAGAUCAGAUUUUUAACCGGAUAAACCUGUAUGAACGAGAUUACUUUGGACUUCGCUUCAUGGAUCAUUGCGAAGAGGCUCGAUGGUUGGAUCCGGAGAAAUCGAUAAUAAAGCAAAAUCGAAACGUUUCAGUAUUUUACCUGAGCGUGAGGUUCUAUUCUUCGGAUCCUUGCAAGUUACAAGAAGAGAUAACGAGAUACUUGUUCUUCCAACAAUUGAAACGAGAUAUUUUACAGUCAAGACUUAAUUGCUUGCCGUUCUUCGUGUAUUUUCAGACUUCAUUGUUCGUUUACAGUCGCCACGAGAUUGUUCUCUUACAUUCUCCAAGCCGAACUUGGUGAUUUUGACCCAAAACGUCAUACUUUAGGUUAUGCUUCGGAAUUUCGGUUUUUACCAAAUCAGUCGGAGAAAUGGAGGAACAGGCUGAGAAAAUCCACGAGACUUUAAGGAACAUGGUGCCAGCAGACUGCGAGAUGGAGUUUUUAGACAAAGCCAAAUGGUUAGAUUUAUAUGGUGCCGAUAUGCAUCACGUUAAGGGAGAGGAUGGUGUUGACUACGAGUUUGGCAUCAAACCUUCUGGACUUUUAGUAAAGAAGCGAGGG